CCAAGCUUUAGCCAUUACAAACUGUGCCGCUAUGAACAUGGGUGCACAUAUAUCACUGUGGUAUGAUACUUUUAAUUCUUUUGGGAAGAUAUCCAGCAGGGGAAUAGCUGGGUCAAAUGGGACCUCUAGUCCUAGUUCUUUGAGGUGUCUCCAUACUGAUUUCCACAGUGGUUGCACCAGUUUGCACUCCCAUCAACAAUGAAGAAGUGUUCCUUUUUCCCCACAACUCCGCCAGCAUUUGUUAUUUGUUGAUUUGAUAGCCUCCAUUCUUUCUAGGGUGAAGUGGAAGCUCCUAGCCUCCACCCCAGGCUCCUAGGGCAGAGAAGCCCUGCUGGUCCCAGCACUGGGAAGGAAGCUCCAUGCCUCCAUCUCAGGCUCCAAGGGCAGUGAAGCUCAUCCAGUGCAAGCACCCGGAAGGAAGCUUCCCCGCUGCCAUCCCAAGCUCCUAGGGCCAAGAAGGGGAUCGAACUCGGAACCUUGCACUUGUGAGGACGGCGCCAGAAACUCUGAGCUAAAUGGCCGCGCCGCCCGGGCUCGCCGUUUUGCCCUUCAAAUGUGUUGCAUUCUGGCUGUCACCUGGGGAGCAACUCAGUCUAGGGAGAACCUUCCUUGAGUCCAAGAAAACAGUUUUGGGCGUGAUUUUCAACAUCAAGGAUCCUAUACCAAAUGAACGCAUUCGACACUUUUGGAUGAGACGAGUCUUCUUGUCAGAAAGUGAUAACGGUCCAACUUUCGUGACACCUAAAAGUAAGUAUAGCAACCUUUUCAUCGGAUACCACAAUCUUACUCUAUGGUAUUCUGCUUGACAUGACAAAGUAGCUUUGCAUACAUCCAUUGCUUUCAUCAUUUUUAAAAGAAGAUAUCGUGAGAGAAAUACUGAGAUUCGAAAAGAUAGUCGUCCAGGUCCUAUGGCAUGGUAUGGCAAAAGAACACGAUCUGACUGAAAUUCACAGAAAAACACCUAAUCCAGAAUGGACACAUGAUACGUGUACACUAAAAUUUGGAUCUGAAUGAUCUCUAAAGCUAUCACGAACCAACGUUCGGUCUAUUCAAAUAUAUCAAUAUAUAACUAAAUAGAGCCGGUAGUCAUUAGAAAUACGAGAAGAUAUCACACAGAAGACUUACAGCAGUGGAAGAGACUUUUCCUCUUCUUAUCUGUGGCCAGAACUUCAGCAUUAGAUGUCCACCCUGCUGAUGUGGAGGGAUGACGUCAUAAAGAGAUUGUGAAGUACCAAAAUUUAAAGGGCAACACAGAGCAGUUACCUUUUAGUGUGGAUGGGUUUCCGUACGUUUUAACAUCUUGUUCGGAGAGAUUCUGUCAGUUAUUUUUUGGCUUUAUCUGAUAAGAGCAAUCAUUUAUUUUCUGUCACCCUAUUUUUACAUGAGUUUUUAGGGUGUGUGGGGGGCCACAGGUAUGUGCACAUGUAUGUGCUUUGAUGAAGGUGAAAAUUACAUGAGAUAUAAGGAAACUAGAAUACUCUACAUAGCUCCCUUACCCAGAGCAGCUUUAAUCCAGUGCAUUUUCGUCACGUUCAGGCUUUGGCCCUAAAGUGUUGCGUAUGUUAUUAGUAAUAUUUUUUCCAAACUCAUUGGAAGGUGUCCUAUUCUCUGAUAAUGUCAAUGGAACAAAGCAAAAAUGUCUAUUAAUCUAAUACUUAGAUUUAUUAUCCAGCUAUGUAUAUAGCUAUCUAAAAUUAUAGAGACAGAGCUGAGCUAGAACAAAUUAUCAAAUUGUGCCUGGCUGGAAAUUUGUAAAGGUGAAUGUUUUCAUGAAGGAAAUGAAAACCCUUAUUAUGGCAGAUAGACAGUGAUUUUUCUUUAUAUGUAUGCCAUGUGACCUCUCACAGUGCAACUUUCAGACCCCAGAAGAAGUCAUUCAUUAGAAUCCAUUCGUUAAUGUCACUAAGAUGUUAGCACAUUUUAAAUUGAAAAGUACUAAACCCUUUUAAAUUCAAAUCUCAUUGAAUAAUUUUUCUAGUAUAUGUUUUAUUUUAUCAUAUAUAUAUGCAUGUAGAUAGAUGACAUGAUAAUUUAUAACUUCAGUAAAGAAAUACAAAUUUCUUAGCACAGUUUUUGGCAAUCAAAAUGUUAUCAUUUCCUUAUUUCUUGAUUCCCACAAUAUCCUACUCAGCAAAAUCCUGAAAGAGUUCUGUGGAUUUCUUAUGAGUAGAAGUGUGGGAAAAAAAUCCGGUUUCCGUUGCUUUGCUUUUUGAAAAAUGAUGUGAUUCAAAAUACGUCAAAUAAUCCAGAUGGAACUAUCCCCUAUUCACCUUAUUGCCUGUGUACAUAUCUUCUCCAAUUUCUCCUUACCCAGUUGCCUCUGAAAGGAGGCUUUGAAAGCGUUUAGUAUGUAUUUCUGAAAGACAACUGCCUUUCUUUUAUCUUGCAUAGCACUCCAUCUUUGAAAGAAAGUUUUAAUGGACACAAAAUAUUUUAUAUAGUUGGAGAAUACAAAAUAAUAAUGUGCUGUAUGCAUACCCUCUAUAACAACCAAGCAGAGUCAUUGGCAUUUCCAUUCUUCCUAAAUUUAUCAUUUCCGUGUGACAUGAUACUUCAGCUUCUUAUCUUUUUGUUGUUUUUAACAGAUGAUAAAAUAUUUAGUCGAGAGUUCUAGCCACAACACAACUAACCUAAGUACCCCUCGCAGGGUAAAUGUUUUGUAUACCCAUUCUCCAACCACUCUUAAUUUUUCUGACUCCUUAUUUUAUAUGGAAGUUUAUUCCCCUCUUGACUUCUGUAGGAUCAAACUGUAAUUUUUGCUCCCACAAAGGAGUAAGAACAUGUCGUAUUUUCAUUUUUCUGACAACAUUGAACAUGGUCUUAGUUUGAAAUAGUGUCUUUACAUCUUUCAAAAUGGAGUCAAUUGAAAAUGAGGUCGUGGGCCGGGGAUUUAGCUCAGUGGUUCUGCCGCCCGCCUUGCAAGCGGGAAGGCCCGAGUUCGAUCUCUGGCACCCAAAAAUGCAAAUGAAUGAAGAAAGAAUUCAAUAAAUAGUAAAACAAAAUGAGGUCAUCCUGGAAUGAUGUGGUCUCUUAAUCCAAUUCGCGGUGCUUUCUAAGGAAAGGGAAAGUUGAAUACAGAGCCAGACUAAGAGAGAAGGAGGCAGAGAUUGGAGUGAUGAAUCCAGAAGCCAAAUGGUAAGAAUUGCAAGAAUCUGCCAGAAGAUAUGACCGAGAGGCCUGUAGCACACACUUCUGUGAGACUCCAGAGGGAAGCAAUCCUGUUGACAACUUGAUUUUGGAGUUCUACUCUCCGUAACUCUUUAAGAAUAAACGUACAGGUUUCCAAGCCUCCUGGUUUGUCCUGGUAGUUGACGGAACUAAUGUGCCCAAUUAGCAGAAUGAAACUAAGACACCCCAAAGAAGAGGACGUGUGUUCUAAAUGGAAGGAAGGCACGCAAUAGGGGUCCAUGCACACCUAGCCUAGGUGUAUUCACUUGUGAGAAUACUCAGUUUUUCAUAUUUGUUUCCCUGAGGUGACAAUGGGAGAAAUGAGAAAAUAUUGUGGCUUUGAGGACAGUGGACAAAGCAUGAAUCCUCCUGUUUGAUAUGAAAAGAAUAUGCCACAGACUAUGAAAAGGGAGUCGAAUUAACUCUUGGUCUUAGAGAGGUUAGAGGAGUGAAAAACAUGUUGGAGUAGUGUUGUGAAAGGUACCUGAGUAGUGGGAUCAAUAGUGAACAGUUUGAAAUUGAGGUUUUGAAGGCCUGUCCGUUUAAAUGAACUACGAAAGCACGGGUCCAACUGAAAAAGAGAUGAAAGAUUUGAAAUGUUAGCUAGGAAAAGGAUCACCCAUGUGGUAAGGUCAUCAGGAAUGAAGACAAGUGUCCAGAGUGGAAUGAAAAGAUAGUGGGACAAAGGGAAAAUAACAGCAGAUGAAAGUGAGUGGAGAAUUAAUUUAAUGAUAAAAGAAAGAAAAGUAAUGGGAGAUAAUCUGAUGACAGAAGAUUAAAAGGAGAGUGAUUGUAUGAAAGUCGGGCGGGAAAGGGACCCAGAAGCGGCACUGAGGAAAAAACUCCCACAGCUAUUGCACUUCGAGGUCUAGUAGGAGGAGGGAAUGUGGGAAGGAAAAGGGCACUUGCCCUAGAAGGCUCCCAAAGCAGGAUACUUGGAGGUAGAGCAGGAUUUUAGAUAGGGCAAGAAGGUAGGAAUAGUGUUCAGCUGGGGCCAGAGAAAGACACAGAGGGUUUUACUGAAGGCACGGAAUGCCCAAGAGUUGACAUGCAAUGGUGACAUAACCCUGGGGCCUUUGUGAUGCAAGAUAUAGGCAGUAUCCACCUAGAAAUGCCUUUAUAAAAAUGUUAGUGAUUUGAGAAGCUCAUUUUGGGACCUGGGUUGUAAUUUAUAGAUCAAACUCAUUCUUUCACUUUCACACUACAGCAUAUUUAAUGUUAUUUUUGGAAAAGUGACAUGCCCUCCAUGAAAACAGCACCAAAAAUUCACACUAAUAGUUGUGAACUAAUAUUUUAUAAUUUGCAUCGCAGAAGAAAAUCUUUUCUAACUUUUCCUUCUAAGUUUGAGGUCACGUGCAUUCCCAUUUGUCUGAUAAAUCAACAGUUUCUAUCAUUCAGCUAUUUCCAUGGAACAUUAAUUUUAUUUUCUUAUUCACUUUUCUCAUUUCCUUUGAGGUAAUAUGAUCAUUAAUGGGGCCAGUGUUUAGCUCAGUGCUUCUGGCGCCUGUCUCACAAGAGCAAGGUCUCAAUGUCAAUCCCUGGCACACACACACACAAAAAAAAGAAUGAACAAUUAAGGACCACUUU
rnacentral:lncRNA from 1 species